ACCUGGGUGGCUCAGUUGGUUAAGCGUCUGACUUCAGCUCAGGUCAUGAUUUCGCAGUCUGUGAGUUCAAGCCCCACAUCAGGCU
rnacentral:tRNA from 1 species